rnacentral:rRNA from 1 species
UACGAAGGACCCAAGCGUUAUCCGGAUUUAUUGGGUUUAAAGGGUGCGUAGGCGGGUUAUUAAGUCAGUGGUGAAAACCCGCAGCUCAACUGUGGGCUUGCAGCUGAUACGGGCAGGCUUGAGUUCGGUAGGGGAGACUGGAAUUCCUGGUGUAGCGGUGAAAUGCGCAGAUAUCAGGAGGAACACCAAUAGCGAAGGCAGCUCGCUGGGACGUUACUGACACUGAGGCGCGAAAGCGUGGGGAGCAAAACGG